AGGGGCUGAGCAGGACAGCCAAGGGCGUCGCCAAGGUCUUCGGCGUCCAGCCGUCCACGCCUUGAGGUAUAUUCAUGUUUUCUUACACGAACUGCCAUCUCCAAAUCUCCAUGUCCACGCCCAUAGAUUUGAUCCAUUCUCCAUGGCCUCCAUGCAGUUCAUCUCCCAACUGCUGAUGGGAUGUGCCUUGAUCUACCUCUGGACUAGAACCACAAUUAGUCAUUGGGUCAAUCACAGAACCUAUCAGCAGGACAUUAUUUCCUGUUCCUGUACUCGACGAGGUAGUUGUAAUGCAAUUUAGUAUCAAUACUAAUACAGUAUCUAUGUGAUUAAUUCUAAACUUUGUAUACUCACUUUGCAGGAUCAUUUUCACAGUAUAUUAUUUCUGUUUAACUCUUUAAUGUCUUAGUGUACAUCUUUGUUUUCAUUCUCUAUAGUGGGCAACAAUUUGCUCUAUGUGCACAGACACUGAUAAAUUUGAGUUGGUACGUAGUGUUUUAGUGUACUAUAUAAUCUCAUUUGCUCUUUUGAUAGAUUUCACAUUUUGUUCGACCUGUACUUUAUCUGUUAUUGUUUUCAGCCCAUUAGAACAAACGAUUUAUGAUGGUCACAUGUAACUGCGUUCUUAUUUGAUCAUGCAAUUGUCCUUUUUUUCUUCUUCUUGUUUUGUGUAUAUUGAUGGAUGCACUUUGUAUAGAACUGAAGAUUAAGAGGAAGAGAAACAUUAGGAGCGGGUCAACAAGUUUCAUUACCGAUCUGAUCACGCAAUUGUCCUUUCCCCCUGUUUUCUAUAGAUUGAUGGAUGAGCUUUUUAUAGAACUGAUGAUUAAGAGGGAGAGAAACAUUAGACGCUUCAGAAAGUUUCGUUAUGGAGGCAAAAAUAAUUUGUUGGUUCAUAUAGGAAAUUGGAUGACUAUUGUAAUAUGAGUGUUGACAAGCUGAAGAAGAUGGCCGGUGCCCUGUGCCGGAGGCAAGGGCAGUGUGCACAUGUGCUUUCUAUGUUAACCUAUCAUCCGUCGGUAGUGUCAUUGGUUUUGCUACAAGCAGUAGCAUUUCCCGCUUUCAACACGUUAUCUGUUCUACAUGUAUCCAUUUCCCGCUUUCUACAGUAUAGUAGUUCUUUUCUAUGGUACAGUACACACAAGUACGUAGUGUUUAUUGUUCAUGGUUGAAUUCUAAAUGCAGAUUUAUGGAUGACUGUUUAUUUUACUUAAGAAGUAAUUCGUGUGUUCAAGAACAACUGUCGAUCAUGAUCUUAUAAGCCUGUCUACUGAAAUAUCGUUUUGCGAGUGCACAUAUAUGAUUUACAAAUAGAUCAAUGUUCAUUGAUUAAUGUGACAUAUGUACUAAUCAGUGUAGUGUAUCUACAUCGACAUGCCAACCAACAGUAGUCGGGGCAGCGACAGGGUGGUGCAACUGGACCUGGACCUGGAGGUUGCCCCCUGGGCCCGUCGCCAUCGGUUGAGAUGAAGCAGGUGAAUAAGAAGGGGGUGGCGACGAAGAUGGUGGAGUGGCAUAUGCGAGAGGUGGAGGAGAUCAGCAAUUAAUUCAAGAGGGAGGUUGUUCUCAUCAACGGCUCAGAGGCGGAGCAAGUGGGCAAGGCCUCUUGCUCAACAAGAUUGCUGAGAUCUGUUAAUUUUAAUUUUUGAAAUGCUGAAAUCUGUUCAGAUGCUUUGUUUACUAGCUAAAAAAUUGCAGCAGAUAAGGACAGAAAUUUGUUGAUUUUUCUCAACAUGGUGCCGCUUGAUCAGUACUCAAUGAAGAUGAACUGACCAUCAUAGCCGGUGUUGAUUACAGGUAAACGCACUGAAUUUUCCAUUGUGCCAAAACUAACGUAUUAGAAUCUUUCUAAUUGUUGCUACCACAUUUCAUAGUAAGAACACGAUGGUGCAAAGGAAUCUCAUUAUCUAGCCAUAUGUAAUCUCGGUUUCUUAAUAUGCAAACUGUCAUAAGAGUUAGCCCACAUUAAUGUUGCUCCAUUUUUGCUAUCUAUUGAUCUAUGACAAAGGGGAUGUGCUGGCGCCAGUGCUUGUUGCUAACUUGCUAUUCAAAGAAAGGAGUGGAUCUGGCAAUAUGAAAAUCAAUAAAGGUCAUCUUUCCUAUGGCUUUUGUUAUUAGGUACAUGCAGUGUGUGUCACUUCCUUAGAUCAUAUCUGGUUCCUAAAGUUUUAGAUGUUUCAUAUAACCAUCGGGUGCCUUUUAGGAAAAAUAUGACCAUCUGUUAUCCCAUAUGGCAGUCCUUGUACAUGUUUCUUUUAUCUGCUUUAAAAAUUUAUUGUGAAGCAAAAUAAAGUUGUAUGUAAGAAUAUCAUAGGUUGUGUUUAUAUAUACAAGGAUCGCUUCAAGUUCCUAAUUUUUUUAGUGAAGCAUUAAGUUGAGAAUGUAGAAUGGGGGACCAAAAUACUUUUUAUGUAAGUACCGGAGGAGGAAUUGAAAUUAGUCUACCUUGUGUGUG
rnacentral:lncRNA from 1 species